CAGUCCGUGGCACCGCAAUCAGGGGUGGCGCCACCCCGCCCCGGGCCUCAGCGAAGACCUCCGCCCGGCCAACAUGGCUGGCGCCGCCUCUGCCACGUCAAGGGGAGGGGACGGGGCCUGAGGGCAGGAAGGGGGCAGGAAGGGGCGGGCGCAGAGUUACCGGGGCGGGCCACCGGACCCCUGAGCUUAAUAACCGGAGGAUUUGAGAAAGGCGCGCGGCGGGCGAAGGUCGCAGAAGGAGUGGAGAACUGGUGCCACUCGGACACCUUAGCUCACCGAGAGAAAUGGAGACGGCCUCCAGGACAUCUUAGGACCCUGGUUGAUUCCGAGAAUCACAAAUCACGUCUCUGAAAAAAGUGAAAAGUUCAUUGUUUCAUUUAGGACAACAAAUGUUUACUGAACACUUACUAUGUGCCAGACACAAUUGAGAUGCUGGUGAUAUGAUGCAGGCAAGGGAGGCCCAGAUCCCAGGCCCGAAAGAAUUCACGAACUAUUUAUGUAUUUUAGCCUGUCUUUUCCUCCUACAUUGCCUCUGCCACCUCAACUCUUGUCUCCCCCAAAACACACACACACAGUAUAAUAUUUGGCUGAUUCAUCUUGAUAUGUUCAAUGAUUUUCUUUCCAAGAAAAAAGUUGAACAAAAUGAGAAAGCAACAGAUUGGUAAGACAUUGGAGCUUGGUGGUCUCCGGCAACCCCAUCCUUCAGUGAGGGGAAUGAAAUUAAGUGCCCAUGGAAUUAAUUGCGUGUAUGACAACACCUAAAAGCCUGCAAAGUUUAGCCAUAUCAGCAUUUUAUGGAAU